CCUACGGGAGGCAGCAGUAAGGAAUAUUGGUCAAUGGAGGCAACUCUGAACCAGCCAUGCCGCGUGCAGGAAGAAGGCCCUAUGGGUCGUAAACUGCUUUUGUACCAGAGAAAACCACAGUACGUGUACUGUGUUGAUAGUAUGGUAAGAAUAAGCAUCGGCUAACUUCGUGCCAGCAGCCGCGGUAAGACGAAGGAUGCAAGCGUUAUCCGGAUUCAUUGGGUUUAAAGGGUGCGUAGGCGGACUGAUAAGUCAGUGGUGAAAUCUCUCAGCUUAACUGAGAAACUGCCAUUGAUACUGUUAGUCUAGAGUAUAGAUGACGUUGGCGGAAUAUGACAUGUAGUGGUGAAAUACUUAGAUAUGUCAUAGAACACCGAUUGCGAAGGCAGCUAACGAAACUAUAACUGACGCUGAGGCACGAAAGUGCGGGGAUCAAACAGGAUUAGAUACCCUGGUAGUCCGCACCGUAAACGAUGAUUACUCGUUGUUGGCAAUAUGACCGUCAGCGACCAAGCGAAAGCGAUAAGUAAUCCACCUGGGGAGUACGCCGGCAACGGUGAAACGUCAAAGGAAUUGACGGCGNGAGAGNGCGAGGACGACGACGAGGGAGGAGG
rnacentral:rRNA from 1 species